UCUUUACCCACAUAUGACCAGCUUAAAAAGGCAUUAUUCACUUUAAAAAUUUUAAAUUAUUCAAAAGAAAAUUCUGUUGUCCCCAUUUCUAAGACAUUGGACCUCCUCCAUCUCCUACAGCUUGAUACAAGACAGAUGGAGGGACCCAGUGACCCCGCUCCUGACAGCCGGGAGGGGAUUCAGCUGAAUACUUCCCCAAAGUGAGAAAAGACCAAUCUGGAUACUGGCCAGAGAUAUAAAGUAUAUACCUCAACAAGGGGAGGCUGACAAUGACAUUUCCAGGAAGUCCACCUGUCCUGAGGAACCCCCCCCCCCCCAUGCUUCUUCCUCAGGAGGCCAAGAUGAUCAAGAAAAUGACCCUGCUGCUGACAUGGAUGCUGCUCCCCAUCGUAACUGAGGGAAGAUUAGGUGACCCCCAAGGAGCAGGAGAGAUCCUCAAACAAAACAAAACAAAACAAAAUAAAACAAACAAAAACUAAAACAACCACCACCACCACCACAACCACCACCACCACCACCACCACCACCACCUCCACCAAUUAGGUAAUCCCUGUGACUGUAAAGGAGACACCUAUGACCUGGGAGGCACCACUCUACAGAUUAUUGACAGUGGCACCAAUAGUGUCCCCGUUCAAAAGUGGGAAAAAUGCUGUGUCUAUGCUAAUCGAUCCAGGAUCAUUUAAAACAAGAUAAAAAAAAGCUUCAGGAAGAAGCUUUUUUUUAGAAAGGAGGCGUAGAGAGUGCCAAGAAAACCUGUUGUGGACUGGAUUUCAUAUCUUAUUGCCCUAUUUCCUCCCUCUCCUUGGACCCUUCCUUCUCCUUAUCUUGACUGUCAGGCCAUGUCUGCUCUGCUCAAUCAGCUCACUCAAUGUAUCCAUCAGAGGCUAGAGACAGUCUGGCUUCACCAAGUUGAGGUCCAUUACCAAAGACUUGUCUCUUCCAAGCCAGACUCUACAUAUCCCUCUGCCUAUGAGCCCCCCUUCUCAGCUCUCCACCUGACCAAUGAUGCGUAAGAUCUCAGAUGUGCUGAUACAACCUAAGACAGGUCAUGGAGGACACCCCCCCCCUUUUUGAGCCAGAGUGACACAUGGUAUCCAGAGAUGGGUAAGAUCCCCAUGUGUGAAACAAUCUAAGACAGGAGGUAUGUAACCUGCUCAUUACAAAAAGAAAAGGGGGAAAUGUUGAGUCCCAUUUUAGCCCUGGUUUGGGCCUUGAGGACAAACCCGAGCCUGGCUCAAGUUUUGAGACCUGUCUCAGUCACUUCCGUAUUGGAGUGACUCAGCAACACCUAUUUGGCCCUGCUUCUGCCCCACCUUUGUUGAUGUGGAGCUUUGCCAUUAGCCCUGUCAGCCACUCCAUACCCUCCUUCCCUGCCUGCUACAUCACCUUACCCCACCAAAAAUUCCCCUCCCUAUGUUCCAAACUUAUAUAAGCGAGAGACUGAUGCCAUAAAGUUGAGUUCCUGCUUCAACAAGACUCCCGGCUCAGUGUGUUUCUUUCUUCGAUCGACACUUGCCAUCUCUCUCAGCCCUGGAGAGACCCCGUGGGAUGGGACCUCUCUUUUCUCACCUGGACCUGCUGGCAAGGAGCCGGCACCUGAUCCCUUCUUGUGCUGCAAACCCAAUACACAUAGACACAUACAAACAUGUAUACAUGUACAUAUGUGGGAUCCUCGUUCGUGUUCUGUUGCUAUGACAGAAUGCCCUGAUCAAAGGCAACUUAGGACAGAAAAGGGCAUCUUUGGCUUUCACUUCAGUUAAUGAUCAAGCCAAGCCUCCAAAGACAUGACCACAGG
rnacentral:lncRNA from 1 species